GGGGGGAGGCCGGAUCCUGGGCUGUGUCCCGGCGCCCUGUGCCCCGGGGUCUGCACUGUUGCGUUCGCGCUCCCGCCCCGCAGCCCCCU
rnacentral:pre_miRNA from 1 species